GAUCCUGGCUCAGAACGUACGCUGGCGGCACGCCUCAUACAUGCAAGUCGAACGGAGUAGCAAUACUUAGUGGCAGACGGGUGAGUAACAUGUGGGUAUCUUCCCUUUGGUGAGGAAUAACACGAGGAAACUUGUGCUAAUACCUCAUAAGUCUUUACGGAGAAAGCUUUAUGCGCCAAUGGAUGAGCCCGCACUUGAUUAGUUUGUUGGUGGGGUAAUAGCCUACCAAGACUUUGAUCAAUAGCUGAUUUGAGAGGAUGAUCAGCCACAUUGGGACUGAGACACGGCCCAAACUCCUACGGGAGGCAGCAGUAGGGAAUCUUGCACAAUGGAGGAAACUCUGAUGCAGCGAUGCCGCGUGAGUGAAGAAGGCCUUUGGGUUGUAAAGCUCUUUCGUCGGGGAAGAAAAUGACUGUACCCGAAUAAGAAGGUCCGGCUAACUUCGUGCCAGCAGCCGCGGUAAUACGAAGGGACCUAGCGUAGUUCGGAAUUACUGGGCUUAAAGAGUUCGUAGGUGGUUAAAAAAGUUGGUGGUGAAAUCCCAGAGCUUAACUCUGGAACUGCCAUCAAAACUUUUUAGCUAGAGUAUGAUAGAGGAAAGCAGAAUUUCUAGUGUAGAGGUGAAAUUCGUAGAUAUUAGAAAGAAUACCAAUUGCGAAGGCAGCUUUCUGGAUCAUUACUGACACUGAGGAACGAAAGCAUGG
rnacentral:rRNA from 1 species